AUAUUUUUGAUGUACUGUAACUAGCAUAAUAAAAAAGUCUGUUCUUAUCAGCUUAAUAUCUGAUACGGGUUCUAUAUGGUCCCACGAUAUUAAACCUAUUUUUGGAAGUUGGCGGAGUGCUUGAAGCCUGCAUAACCUCCGCCGCAGGUCGGCCCUGUAUUACACUACCUCCGGGAUCGGGUCCCGCUCA
rnacentral:snRNA from 1 species